ACAACCUGGCGGCAUGCUUACACAUGCAGUCGAACGAGAUCUUCGGAUCUAGUGGCGCACGGGUGAGUAACGCGUGGGAACCUACCAUUCUGUACGGAAUAACGCUUGGAAACGAGCGCUAAUACCGUAUACGCCCUGUGGGGGAAAGGUCCGCCGCAGAAUGAGGGGCCCGCGUCCGAUUAGUUUGUUGGUAAGGUAACGGCUUACCAAGACUACGAUCCUUAGCUGGUCUGAGAGGAUGAUCAGCCACACUGGGACUGAGACACGGCCCAGACUCCUACGGGAGGCAGCAGUAGGGAAUAUUGGACAAUGGGCGAAAGCCUGAUCCAGCAAUGCCGCGUGAGUGAUGAAGGCCUUAGGGUUGUAAAGCUCUUUUACCCGGGAUGAUAAUGACAGUACCGGGAGAAUAAGCUCCGGCUAACUCCGUGCCAGCAGCCGCGGUAAUACGGAGGGAGCUAGCGUUGUUCGGAAUUACUGGGCGUAAAGCGCACGUAGGCGGCU
rnacentral:rRNA from 1 species